CUAUAUAUAAUUUUAUUUUCAGGUAGUGAAACAUCAAUAAUUGUCUAUGACAAAUCAAGAUCCAUAAGGAUAUCAGUCAUACUUUUGUUUUAGUAUCUAGAAUAUUUGAGCAAACAGUAGGGAAACUAAAAUAUUGCCAUGUUCAUCCGUAGUAAAUAUAUUUGUAGAUAUAUUUGUUGUUUUUUAGAUUAAAUCUUAUUUUUUUUACUUAAUUAUACUUGUGCUUGCUUGAAAAA